rnacentral:sRNA from 1 species
UACAGACUAACACGGCUGCUACUCUGAAACCAGCAAUAAUGCAGGCUUCCCUGUGUUGCCCUGUCAAUGCACCUCAACCCUGACCUGGACGGUCCACCUCCAAUGGUCAGA